GCUUCCGUAGCUCAGUUGGUUAGAGCUUCGUACUAAUACUCGCCUUGAGGCGCUGCAUUGGUGAUGCGAAGGUCGCAGGUUCAAGCCCUGCCGGGAGCA